AGUUAAUUAUUUGCUACUCUUGAAAAUUUAUAAUUGAUGAAUUUUGUCACCUUUUAACUGAAUUGUUUGUAGUUUGAUUAAAAAUAUCCUCAACUAUUUAAAAGUUUUUAUAGCUUUCUCCUAAUUCUUCUAUUUCAGAUAUCAUGCAAAGUUGUACGUGUCACCCGAUGCCAAAAUGUGGAUCACCCUGAGUCCGUCUAUUAGAUAUUUAAUAUUAAGGUAAAAGAUGCUUUAUCAGUGGCCAGAAAGGAAUUUCCACAAGCGAAUCUCAAUGUGAUCUAUGAAGAGUGAAGGAUUCCGGACACUCCCAUGCUUCAGGUAAAAGAUGCUUUAUCAGUGGCCAGAAAGGAAUUUCCACAAGCGAAUCUCAAUGUGAUCUAUGAAGAGUGAAGGAUUCCGGACACUCCCAUGCUUCAGGUAAAAGAUGCUUUAUCAGUGGCCAGAAAGGAAUUUCCACAAGCGAAUCUCAAUGUGAUCUAUGAAGAGUGAAGGAUUCCGGACACUCCCAUGCUUCAGGUAAAAGAUGCUUUAUCAGUGGCCAGAAAGGAAUUUCCACAAGUGUGAAGGCAAAUGUAAGAGCUCCAAAAGUUGGAAAUUAAAAAUUCCGUCAUAUA